CUGAGGAAGGGCGGGGACCAGACCCCGGGAACAGAGAGGCGGAGCCUCGCGACGGAGGGGCCUCCGGAAAGGGUCUGGACCCCGCUCGAGAAUAGAAGACCGCGGGCCACCUGAAGCUGGUGGCUCCUGGGAGCAGUUUGGAACGGGGGUCCGAGUUCUCUGGCGCAAGGCCCCUCGUCUGGAAGUCCAAGGGCCAACCCCGGCAGCCGUGUGGGCUUGGAGACGGAGGCCAGCCACAUGGCCCCCUUCCUCUAACCCUCAGCCCCACUGCCCCUCGUUUCCAGCAGCAGUUAUAGAAUCCAGGAAAUAAAUGUGGAUUGAUGGCCUAUAAAGGGCUUGCUUAGAGCUGUGACCUGCCGACUUACGUAACUCGCAUUACUGGCCCCGGCUGAAGUUUCUAUUGCAGCAGCCCCCGAAGCUGCCUCCGUGACAUUUCCUUGAGCCUCAUUCAGAGGUGGCCGCAGCAGAAAUUCCUCUGGGAUGCCAAAGGGGCCCCAUGGAGAAUCUCCCGGAAGGCUCGCUGGCUCCUAAAGUAGACUCUUCCCAGGUUCAAGGAAGAAAAGACUCAAGGGAAGCACGGGACGCAGAGAACUCCACAAUCUCCAGGGAAACUCCCCAAGACAGAAUGUAACCUGCCUACAAAAUAAAAGACCCGUUUCCACAGAAGCAGGACAAUGGGCCGCAAAAGGGAGCAGCUGAAAGGUCACUCCGGGACCUGUCACUUGCCCAGGGGGGCCGAAGCGAUGCUGUGAAGGAGGUACAUUGUUGCAAUACUUGGAUGAGGAAAU